UGAGGAAUCUUGCGCAAUGGGGGCAACCCUGACGCAGCAACGCCGCGUGAGCGAGGAAGGUCUUCGGAUCGUAAAGCUCUGUCGGAUGGAAAGAACCGCAUAGGGGCAAACAGCCCCUGUGUCUGACGGUACCGUCAAAGGAAGCACCGGCUAACUCCGUGCCAGCAGCCGCGGUAAUACGGGGGGUGCAAGCGUUGUUCGGAAUUAUUGGGCGUAAAGAGCGUGUAGGCGGCCGGAUAUGUCAGAUGUGAAAGCCCUGGGCUUAACCCAGGAAGUGCAUUUGAAACUGUCCGGCUCGAGUAGGGGAGAGGGAAGUGGAAUUCCUGGUGUAGAGGUGAAAUUCGUAGAUAUCAGGAGGAACACCGGUGGCGAAGGCGACUUCCUGGCCCUAUACUGGCGCUGAGACGCGAGAGCGUGGGUAGCAAACAG
rnacentral:rRNA from 1 species